AUUGAACGCUGGCGGAAUGCUUUACACAUGCAAGUCGAACGGCAGCACGGACUUCGGUCUGGUGGCGAGUGGCGAACGGGUGAGUAACAUAUCGGAACGUUUCCAAUAAUGGGGGAUAACGAGUCGAAAGAUUCGCUAAUACCGCAUACGCCCUACGGGGGAAAGCUGGGGACCUUCGGGCCUGGCGUUAAUGGAGCGGCCGAUAUCUGAUUAGCUAGUUGGUGAGGUAAAGGCUCACCAAGGCGACGAUCAGUAGCUGGUCCGAGAGGACGACCAGCCACACUGGAACUGAGACACGGUCCAGACUCCUACGGGAGGCAGCAGUGGGGAAUUUUGGACAAUGGGCGCAAGCCUGAUCCAGCCAUUCCGCGUGAGUGAAGAAGGACUUCGGGUUGUAAAGCUCUUUCGCAAGGGAAGAAAACUUAGCCACUAACAUUGGUUGAGGUUGACGGUACCUUGAUAAGAAGCACCGGCUAACUACGUGCCAGCCGCCGCCGUAA
rnacentral:rRNA from 1 species